UCAGGAAUCUCACCGGAGAAUUGGUUUUCGAAAAGUUGGAGAGAAGAAAGCUGUUUCAAGGAUUUCAACUCUCCAAGAUCACCUUCAAGCUUAUUAUGUGAAGCAUCAAAAUUUACUAGGCUUGUGAGAUUGCUCAAUCCUACUGGAAGUUUUCCUGUCAAGGAAUUGUUGUAAAUCUCAAGUUGCCAAAGCUUGCUGAG
rnacentral:misc_RNA from 1 species